AACAAGAAAAUAUUUGAAAGUGUAUUUAAUAUAAAAUAAUACUUUCCUAUUAAUAUUAAGAACAAUUAAUAUAUAUAUAACAGAAGUGGUUGAGUUUUAAAUAGAAGUAUUCUUAUAGAAGUACCUUUUGUAUCAGGGUGUUAGGAUUGCUUUAAAGAUUAUAUUUCCCGAAAUAAAAGGAGCUUAUAUAAAAGUUAGUUAAUGUUAAAUUAUUAUUAUUAAUCUUAUAUAAGUUGUGAAAAGUAAUACGGCUUUUUAUAUAUCUGGUUUCUAAGAUAAAAGUUUUAAACUUUAUAACCUUUAUAUAUAAAGGUUAAAUAAUCUUAUGGGGAUAAUCUCGUAAGAAAAAUGUAUUAAUAAUAUUCAAUUUUUUAAAAUACUUGUCUAAGCUUGGAGAUUUAUUAUACUGAAAAAAAUAGAAUCAUAAUCUAUCAAUUAGUAAUCUAAAAAACUUCCUAAAAGGAACUCGGCAAAAAUAGGUUUCGCCUGUUUAUUAAAAACGUGUCUUUUUGAUAAAUUAAAAAGUCAAGCCUGCUCACUGUGAGAAUAAAUAGCUGCAAUAUCAUGAUUGUACUAAGGUAGCAUAAUAACUUGUUUCUUAAUUAGAAGCUGGAAUGAACGGCUGGAUGAGAGCCUUUCUGUCUCUUAUGGUAAAAGACUAAAUUAAAACUUUUGUAAAAAUGCAAAAAUUAUUAGGAGGGACGAGAAGACCCUAUAGAUCUUUAUAUUUCUUUUUUUCCACCCUAAAAAGGGAAAAAAAGAAAUGUUUAUCUGGGAUGGAGAUGAUAAUCAAACUUUAUAUUAAACUAAAGACUAAUUAGUUAAAUAGGAGAAACUGAAAUUAUAAGAACAAGUUACCUUAGGGAUAACAGCAUAAUUUUAUUAAUUAGACCUUAUAUUUAAUAAAGUUUAUGACCUCGAUGUUGAAUUAAGUUUCUUCUAAUAGAAAAAGAUUAGAGCAGAUAGUCUGUUCGACUAUUAAAAACUUACAUGAUUUGAGUUUAGACCGACGUGAGUCAGGUCAGAUUCUAUCUUCCUAAUAUUAUACUUUUUUGUACGAAAGGACUAGAGGUUGGAAGGACAAUUUUUUUACUAUAGUUUAAAAAAACGUUCUAUUAUC
rnacentral:rRNA from 1 species